CCACCUGUUUACUUGAUAAUUUCCAUUUUACAGAGAAGGACAUUAUGAUAAAAGUAAACAUACAACUUCAUAUGACUGUAAAAUGUAAAUCAUCAAUUCUUUUCACUCAACCACACUGUAGCUAUUGUAAAGAUGAUGAUCUGUGAGAUAUACUCCAACUGUUGGACACAUGAUGUAAUUGGCUACUCGCUUGGCUGUCAUUUACCAAUUUUGCUUCAGUCAUUUGCACAACCGUCAUGUACUUAUUUCAUAUGAGUGUGGCUACAUACACAACAGUCGUGCACUUCUUUCAAACUAUGACCAAACCAUAAUAAAUAAAAUUACUACCUAUAUGUAUAUCAGGUGGUCAUGUAACAUUACUAUACAUAUAUGAUACAUAUCACCGGUCAAGUUCACUGUCAUGUCCAUGUUCAGCUGAUGAUAAGAUACCAUAAGCAAUGAUAAGUGGCUAUUCUAAAGUUUAAGUAAUAAAUUGGUGUUGUUAAUAUAUAUGUACUAUGUCAUCACCUUUGCCGCGGUUUUUUUAAAGUGUGACUCACCUCUCAAGGAGCCUCACUGCCUGCAACUUUGAAAAUUUGGAUCCGCCCUUGAUGAAAUAACCACACAUUAGGUUGAUGCAAGUUGGCAUUCAGUCACAAGUCACAGAAGAAACAUUGAGCCCACUACACGUCUCAGACUCUCUAGGCACUGAGUGUGUACACCGUUUACAUCUAGCACCAAUCGUUCAAUGCAAGUAGGCCAUAUACAAAUUCAGCAUAGCCUGGGCCUCAUGCUCAUGAUCCUGGGGUCAGUAUUUCCCUUAAUCUACAGGCCUACAACUACAAUCAGUUAGAUUGUGAAGCAAUAUGACCCAAAUGAUCUGAAGCUUCAUAUCAAAGAAUAAAAAGUAGCACCAUGGAAUAGCACACUUUUGUACUUACUUUUCUCCCUUUGUCUUUGUUCUCCCAUUUUGGCGGAUUAUCUUGUUUACAUCCCAUGAUGCAUUUCGGUUCGGCAAUCACAUUCAUUCCUUUGGUAAUUCGGUUUAUUACUUCAUUAAUCAAUUUAAUUCAAUACGUCUGCAUAUUCCUGUGAAAGUUCGGUAAGAUCUUAUAAAAUGUCUAAAUGAUAUAAAUUUGGAUAAUCCCAAUCUUUUCCCCACUACACUCCUCAUUGAAUCUCACAUGGGUUUGAACUUUUGUUGGAUUCAUCGAAUUAAUAUUUGAACGAGUUAGCAACUACGUUGUUUACCUCACCAUAUUUGGUGCAUUGGAAUCCAAUUAAUUUAAAACGUGCUUUGCGCGAAUUGCGCUGUUUAUUAAAAUGUGGAAAGAAGAAAUAGAAAGGGGCUUUUAUCUACUGAGGUGGAGACCCCCAUCGAUCGACUUCGGGAGACCAGGUAGGUAGCUGAAAUUUGUUUAUAAACAAGCACUUACUAUUACUAUUAGAAAGGAGAGUUACUCACUGUAACAAAGACUUUUGACAGUCUAAUACAUGUAUAGUAUUGGCUAUAUGUCGAACGUUAGUUCUUUUCGGAGGACGUGUUAACGCAGGGUUGGUAUAACGUAGUGGAUUGGUAUAAGUAUAUUGUAUGAUUGAUUAAUCCGAGUUUACUCAUACAUUUCCUGUCCAUUUCCACUACAGUUCUGUAUUACUAUUAUCUUGCAUGUACAGUGGCUGAUCUGGAAAGGUGUAGCUCCCCACUUUUGUUGAAUAUUUUUAACAAAAAUGUAAAUUAAAAUAUCACGUGCCAUUAUCUCCUCUGGGGACGAAAAAGGUACAUUUAAAACCCUGUGAAAAUGUUCUAGAUCCGCCUCUGAAUUCUAUAUAGUGCAAAUACAAGCGACAAAAAUGGAUUAAUAAAUGACUUACUUCUUAGCCGUAUUGUGGAAAAAUGUAAAUAUUCAUCUGACAUCAUCAUAUAAUAUUAUCGCAUCUUCUAUUUCUAUUAACAGGUUCUUUUUUCAAUAGCCAUCACAAACUAGAAUAUUGAAAAAUGAAGGGAGUGGAGCUGCUUAGCACUUCAAUGAAUUCAACUGAGAUUUGAUUUACAAGAGUAACUUGGAAUAAGAGAACAUUAUAAUAAAGGAGGACAGAAACCAAGAAAUAGGCCAUUGGCAAAGAAAGUGGACAGAAGGGAAGAAGAAAAAGGUUACAUAUUUUACAAAAUCCAAGUGUGCUAAUGGAAUGAUGCCAAGCGAUGAAGAAGAUGAUGAGGGCUUCUUGACAUACCGAUAUUCAUAGGAAAGCAACUCCUUUAAAACAUACUUAGAAAUUUGUCUUGCAAGAAGAAAUAGACUCGUCGAAACAAGAAUGGGGGAUCUAUAAAAGACAAAGACAAACCCAAGACUGCAGAUGCGUUCUUUUGGAUAAUUAGACGAGAUCUUCAUUGGGACUUGGACAAUAAGCCUAUUUUCUGUAUAAAUACAUAUCACAAUAUUUGUACCAUGAUCCAUUUGAUAUUAUUCUGAUUUGAAAUUUACAAAGGUGUUUUUAUUACAAAUACAAAUUUAUUAUAUCAACUAUGUGAAAAUAUUAUUGUUUUUAAAUGUGAUAUUGGAACAAAUCAAACUUUAAUAUAGUGAUUGUGUUUGAAAUAUGUGAUUGUUCUUUAUACAUUUAUUCACUAUUUUGAAUAAUUGGUCUGAAAUUAUUGCUACAGUAACUUUUGUAAAUGUUUUCAUCUUAAAUUUGAUGUUUUCCUCACAUUAAUCUUCAAAUCAAAAUACUGGAAAAUGAAAAUUUUGAUUACAGGCAAUUUUCUUUGUGUAAUGACAAUUUGAAAAAAGGGUAAUGUGACAAGGACUUAAUUGUAUUUUAGUUUUCCCUUAUACAAGUAUAUGUAUGUUGUACUUAAUAAUAGUAGAAUAAAUAUUUUUAUAUGUACCAGAAAAUAUCUU